rnacentral:rRNA from 1 species
AGCAUGGUCUUAGCUUGCUAAGACUGAUGGCGACCGGCGCACGGGUGAGUAACGCGUAUGUAAUCUACCUGUAACAGAGGGAUAACCCGGAGAAAUCCGGCCUAAUACCUCAUAAUACAUAUUAUUCGCAUGAGUUUUAUGUUAAAGAAAUUCGGUUACAGAUGAACAUGCGUUCCAUUAGCUGGUUGGCGGGGUAACGGCCCACCAAGGCGACGAUGGAUAGGGGUUCUGAGAGGAAGGUCCCCACACUGGUACUGAGACACGGACCAGACUCC